rnacentral:lncRNA from 1 species
UGAGAGUGUGGAGUUCCUCUGGCCCACAGGCCUGGCAUUCCCAGGGCUCCAGAAACUUGUCAAAGCAGGCCGUCUGGCUUCAGAGCCCUCCUUACUGAUCCUAGGGAAGAAAGAGCAGAAUGAAAAUACCACCCUGCGGCACCCACGGUGACAGAGUCCACGGGGACUUUGAUGUUAGAGACAAGCAGAGUUAAGAAAGGCCAGGUCACGUCUCACCUGCUGCUAACGUUCUACUGGGGCUCUCUGACCCUCUGUAUAGCGAUGAUCACCAGGACUCAUCAGAAGCCGCCAACAGAAGACCGCCUUCACCUUGUCCUUUGUUCUAAGCAUCCCUGGCCCUUCCUGCCAGGGACCAUCUCUGUGACAUGGUUCUCUAUGGCACCCCAAACUCCUGCUGGUCACUCAGAUUCCAAUCCCAUGCCCCGGUGACACAAAUUGCACACUUCAGCCAGCACCGCCUACAAAAUUAUCAGGGGAAGCGGAGGAACAAUGAAUCCCUAACGUCCGUGGGAACAUAGCUCUAAAGCAGAGACUUGUGUACCCCAGCAUCUUCACUCGCCCCAUUAUUUUAACUACGCAUGUGGCUAUCCCAAACACUACUGUUUCCAGCUUCUUAUGCAGUUGAACAUAAUAAGAGCACAUGUCUGCCUCUGGCCAAUAAAUUAUAAAUGAAAAC